UACAGAGGGGGCAAGCGUUGUUCGGAAUUACUGGGCGUAAAGCGUGCGCAGGCGGUUUUGUAAGCCAGAUGUGAAAUCCCCGGGCUUAACCUGGGAAUGGCAUUUGGGACUGCAAGGCUCGAGUGCGGCAGAGGAGACUGGAAUUCCCGGUGUAGCAGUGAAAUGCGUAGAGAUCGGGAGGAACAUCAGUUGCGAAGGCGGCUCUCUGGACCAGCACUGACACUGAGGCACGAAAGCGUGGGGAGCAAACAGG
rnacentral:rRNA from 1 species